UAGACUGACUCCUGCUGAUUAGGAGCGUU
rnacentral:piRNA from 1 species